GACGAACGCUGGCGGCGUGCCUAAUACAUGCAAGUCGAACGCAGUUGCGAACGGGUGCGUAACGCGUAGGUACCUGCCUCAUCGCGCGGGACAACUAUUGGAAACGAUAGCUAAUACCGAAUACUGCGAGAUGCACCUGCGUUGUAUCAGCUAGUUGGUGAGGUAAAGGCUAACCAAGGCGACGAUUCAUAGCCGACCUGAUAGGGUGAUCAGCCACACAUGGGCGGAGACACUGCCCAGAAUCCCACGGGAGGGAGCAGUAGGGAAUCGUCAGCAAUGGGCGGCAGUCUGACCGAGCAACGCCGGGGGAAGGAAGAAGGUUUUCGGAUCGUAAAGCUCUGUUGUUAAAGAAGCGGUAGCUAACCAGAAAGGGACGGCGAACUACGUGCCAGCAGCCGCGGUAAUAC
rnacentral:rRNA from 1 species